GUGAAGAGAAGAGGAGCGCUCACUUAGAAUGUAAUCGAAGGGUCCCUAGCCCGAGGAUGAUUACAAGAGGAGAUAAGCGCCGAAAUGAUUAAUCUACUUGGAAGAUAAGUCAUUGACCAUAAUGGUUAAAUCCUUAUGGUUGUCACAGAGAAUCUGUGGAGUGCUUCUGUGCAA
rnacentral:ncRNA from 2 species